CGGUAAUUCCAGCUCCAAUAGGGUAUAUUAAAGUUGUUGCGGUUAAAAAGCUCGUAGUUGACCCUCAGUUCCGGACUGACGGUGCACCGCCCGGUGCUCUCCGUCAUGCUCCGAACAGCAGGGAUGACCCUGCCCGGCCGGCUCGCACGGGGUGCUCUUCAUCGAGUGUCCCGCGUGGCCGGCGAGUUUACUUUGAAAAAAUUAGAGUGCUCAGAGCAGGCUACUUGAAUGGCCUGAAUGGUGAUGCAUGGAAUAAUGGAAUAGGACCUCGGUUCUAUUUUAUUGGUUUUCGGAACCCGAGGUAAUGACUAAUAGAAACAGGCGGGGGCAUUCGUACUGCGACGCUAGAGGUGAAAUUCUUGGACCGUCGCAAGACGAACUACUGCGAAAGCAUUUGCCAAGGAUGUUUUCAUUAAUCAAGAACGAAAGUUAGAGGUUCGAAGGCGAUCAGAUACCGCCCUAGUUCUAACCAUAAACGAUGCUGACUAGCGAUCCGCCGGCGUUAUUCCCAUGACCCGGCGGGCAGCUUCCGGGAAACCAAAGUCUUUGAGUUCCGGGGGAAGUAUGGUUGCAAAGCUGAAACUUAAAGGAAUUGACGGAAGGGCACCACCAGGAGUGGAGCCUGCGGCUUAAUUUGACUCAACACGGGGAACCUCACCAGGCCCGGACACCGGAAGGAUUGACAGAUUGAGAGCUCUUUCUCGAUUCGGUGGGUGGUGGUGCAUGGCC
rnacentral:rRNA from 1 species